UAAAAGAGAGGCUAAAACUCAAUGGAAAUGAUCGUUUAAUGAUGAACCACCAUCCUUUGGCCUUUCCGCUGCACGUGAUUGGCAAUCAGGAGUUCUGCUACUUCUCUGAUUUGAAUGAAAUGGUUGGAUCAACAGUGAUCGAUAUAACUGAAUCACACUCCGAGAGAUUGAAACUAUGCAACUAUAAAAAUAAGUAUGAGGAUAAAAGAAGUGGAAGAGUUGAAUCCAAGUACAAGUCAACCCACUGGCUUGCUCUUUUUGAUUGAAUGAGUUCCCUAUAGAUGAUGAUGAUGAACCGCAACCUAAAAGACUUAAAGAAUUCUAAUUCUUUUAAAGGUGCUUGUACCAAAGAAGCAUGUUGAAACAGCUAAGCGAAGCCAUUACUCCCAUGAUGAUGAGGAACCACUGCAUGAAAGAUUUAAGAAACUCAAGCUCUCUUGAAUUGCAAAUCAAGUCUUUCGCCCUUUUGACUAUAUGCAGAUUGCAGAUUUGAUUAUAAAACCAUUGGUUAUUGUUCAGUUCAAGCCUUUUGUUUCGUUUAGCUCAAAGGAGAAUGACAAGCUCACCAAGCCCUUAAGUCUUGUUUAGCUUGGUUUUUGUUGAAGAAUUCAAUGUAGAAGCAAUUCAGACUUUCAGUUUAUAAUUAAAACUGCAAUUUUCAAGUCUCAGAUUGUGUUAGUGACAUUGAUGCCCUUUC